GGAAUAUUGGACAAUGGGGGCAACCCUGAUCCAGCCACGCCGCGUGAGUGAUGAAGGCCCUAGGGUUGUAAAGCUCUUUUACCCGCGAAGAUAAUGACGGUAGCGGGAGAAUAAGCUCCGGCUAACUCCGUGCCAGCAGCCGCGGUAAUACGGAGGGAGCUAGCGUUGUUCGGAAUUACUGGGCGUAAAGCGCGCGUAGGCGGCUUUUCAAGUCAGAGGUGAAAUCCCGGGGCUCAACCCCGGAACUGCCUUUGAAACUGGAAAGCUAGAAUCCUGGAGAGGUGAGUGGAAUUCCGAGUGUAGAGGUGAAAUUCGUAGAUAUUCGGAAGAACACCAGUGGCGAAGGCGACUCACUGGACAGGUAUUGACGCUGAGGUGCGAAAGCGUGGGGAGCAAAC
rnacentral:rRNA from 1 species